rnacentral:rRNA from 1 species
AACGAACGCUGGCGGCGUGGAUAAGACAUGCAAGUCGAACGGGACAGACCGAGUAGCAAUAUUUGGAAUGUUCAGUGGCGAACGGGUGCGUAACACGUGGAUAACAUUCCGGAAAGCGGGGAAUAGCCCAGGGAAACUUGGAUUAAUACCGCAUGUGGCCGCAAGGCUAAAGACGGGGACCGCAAGGCCUGUCACUUUCCGAUUGGUCCGCGGCCUAUCAGCUAGUUGGCGGGGUAAUGGCCCACCAAGGCUACGACGGGUAGCUGGUCUUAGAGGACGACCAGCCACACUGGAACGGAGACACGGUCCAGACACCUACGGGUGGCAGCAGUCGAGAAUCUUUCACAAUGGGGGCAACCCUGAUGGAGCGACGCCACGUGGAGGAUAAGGUCUUCGGAUUGUAAACUCCUGUCAUGCGAGAACAAGGUACUCAGGCUAAUAACCUGAUUGUUUGAUGGUACCGCAAGAGGAAGAGACGGCUAACUCUGUGCCAGCCGUCGCCGUAAAAC